rnacentral:rRNA from 1 species
UACGGAGGGGGCUAGCGUUGUUCGGAAUUACUGGGCGUAAAGCGCACGUAGGCGGCUUUGUAAGUCAGAGGUGAAAUCCCGGGGCUCAACCCCGGAACUGCCUUUGAGACUGCAAGGCUCGAAUCCAGGAGAGGUGAGUGGAAUUCCGAGUGUAGAGGUGAAAUUCGUAGAUAUUCGGAGGAACACCAGUGGCGAAGGCGGCUCACUGGUCCGGUACUGACGCUGAGGUGCGAAAGCGUGGGGAGCAAACAGG